CUCGGCAGAAACUAGCCCCUUCAAAACCCCAGUUGAUCGAUCUUUGGUGACCACCAAGGCCACAUGGCACCCCACCUCACAUCGUUUUCACAAAGAAACAAGCAAACGAAUCAAAGAAGAAGUAAUUCCCACAUUUCCACCUUUGAAGCUGGUAAUAUAAAUACAAGGAAAAAGACCUGUUCCUGCCCCCUCCCUCCUUAAAUGAAAAGAAAACGGCCUAGAGAAACACUAGAAGGUUGACGAGCCUUCUUUCAUUUCCCUUCCCCUCCUCUCUCUCUCUCUCAUUGGUAAGUUGUAUUCCCAUUGACAGGAGGAGGAGAAGGUGGCGAUGGGGAUACUGAGCUUGGCAGAGCUAUUCGUGAGCGCGGCGGUGCAUCUGCUAUUCGGAUUCUACGUAUUUAGCACUGCGGUGGCGUCGGACCUCUCGCAGGCCGUGACGGAUCGCUUCAAGCCUAACGCAUUUAAUUU
rnacentral:lncRNA from 1 species